rnacentral:rRNA from 1 species
UGGGGAAUUUGGACAAUGGGCGAAAGCCUGAUCCAGCAAUGCCGCGUGUGUGAAGAAGGCCUUCGGGUUGUAAAGCACUUUUGUCCGGAAAGAAAUCCUUGGCUCUAAUACAGUCGGGGGAUGACGGUACCGGAAGAAUAAGCACCGGCUAACUACGUGCCAGCAGCCGCGGUAAUACGUAGGGUGCAAGCGUUAAUCGGAAUUACUGGGCGUAAAGCGUGCGCAGGCGGUUUGCUAAGACCGAUGUGAAAUCCCCGGGCUCAACCUGGGAACUGCAUUGGUGACUGGCAGGCUAGAGUAUGGCAGAGGGGGGUAGAAUUCCACGUGUAGCAGUGAAAUGCGUAGAGAUGUGGAGGAAUACCGAUGGCGAAGGCAGCCCCCUGGGCCAAUACUGACGCUCAUGCACGAAAGCGUGGGGAGCAAACAGGAUUAGAUACCCUGGUAGUCCACGCCCUAAACGAUGUCAACUAGUUGUUGGGGAUUCAUUUCCUUAGUAACGUAGCUAACGCGUGAAGUUGACCGCCUGGGGAGUACGGUCGCAAGAUUAAAACUCAAAGGAAUUGACGGGGUCAUAGCU